UACGUAGGUGGCAAGCGUUAUCCGGAUUUACUGGGUGUAAAGGGAGCGUAGGCGGUGAUGCAAGUCAGAAGUGAAAGCCCGCAGCUCAACUGCGGGACUGCUUUUGAAACUGUAUGACUAGAUUGCAGGAGAGGUAAGUGGAAUUCCUAGUGUAGCGGUGAAAUGCGUAGAUAUUAGGAGGAACACCAGUGGCGAAGGCGGCUUACUGGACUGUAAAUGACGCUGAGGCUCGAAAGCGUGGGUAGCAAACAGG
rnacentral:rRNA from 1 species